AGAGUGAACGCUGGCGGCAGGCCUAACACAUGCAAGUCGAACGGCAGCACGGCAGUAGCAAUACUGUGGGUGGCGAGUGGCGGACGGGUGAGGAAUACAUCGGAAUCUACCUUGUCGUGGGGGAUAACCUCGGGAAACCGGGACUAAUACCGCAUACGACUAUGGUUGAAAGCGGCGGACCGCAAGGCGUCGCGCGAUU
rnacentral:rRNA from 1 species